rnacentral:rRNA from 1 species
UACGAAGGGGGCAAGCGUUGUUCGGAAUCACUGGGCGUAAAGGGCGCGUAGGCGGUCCUUCAAGUCAGGCGUGAAAGCCCCGGGCUCAACCUGGGAACGGCGCUUGAGACUGGCGGACUGGAGUUCGGGAGAGGAUGGUGGAAUUCCCAGUGUAGAGGUGAAAUUCGUAGAGAUUGGGAAGAACACCAGUGGCGAAGGCGGCCAUCUGGACCGACACUGACGCUGAGGCGCGACAGCGUGGGGAGCAAACAGG